AUCCAAAUGCAUUAUUAUAUAUCCUGUCUUGAAACAGAAGAUUUCAUUUCCUUGCCGCUAUUUGGUGAGUCUUGUGCUGGAAAAGGGCCUAUCACCUACCUUCCUCUGGACCAGCUUUUGCAGAUGAAUUACUCUCUACCAUGGUCUUAGAAGGAGCAGUCAAGAAUGCCUCCCUUCCUUACCAUGCUGGCCUGGGCUGUUCAUGCCAGACUGCUUGCUCUGCUCUGUGAUCUGCAGAGGACUUUCAAGCACAACCUGGAGACAGAGAGCGGGCAGGGGGCCACAGAGCUCAGCUGCAGCUGAGAAGGGGUUUUCCCUCCUGGUCCUCUGCCAGUGCCAAGGAAGCCAAGAGAAGAUGAGACCAUGCUUCUGCAAAUGCAAAUAAAGAGACCUGCAGGGCUCAGGGCAUUCAGCACUGAGUGGAAGUGUGCAGCCAGCAUUUCCCAGCCUUCUGAAGUCCUCCAUAGGAAACCUCCAGUCUUCCUCCAUGCGCUGGAGAUAGAUGCUGCUAAUUCAGUUUGGUGAGAACGACCAAUACAACUGCUCCCACUUGCUCCGGUGUCACAUCAAUCUAUAAGAAGCCAAAAGGAUGUCUGCAACCAGCAAGCCAGAAAGAAAGCUGUAUUGUUUUUCACAAUGAAUGGCAUUAACUCCUUUUCUUCCAUACAAAUAUACUCUGAAUACUUUGCUUGUUGCCUAAAUUCUUGAUCAUAGAAUCACCGAAUCAUUUGAAAUGGAAAGGACCCUUACAGGUCAUCGAGUCCAGCUCCCCUGCAAUGAACAGCAUUCAUCUGCAGUGAAUAGGGAUGUUGAUGUCGAAGAGUGGAACAGCUGAAAACUUUCUAAAUGUCUAUUCACUUUGUCUGUAGAUCUUUUAACCUUAAAUAAUUACAUAGGUCAUAUUACGUAAAUAGUAUAAGAUAAUAUUAGAAAUAAAUUAAGAUCACAGUAUAGAUAGCAUAGCAGAAUACAAAUGCAAAUUACAGAUUUCUCCAUUAUUGAAAUAUACCAAGUAAGAUGAUCAGAAAACAUUUAAGAUUCAGAAGUUGAAAUAAGCAAUAAUAAGUUGAACAAUCAAUCUGAUCAAACACAAUCAAAAGCUAUACGCUCUGUGAUCUCAGGUAGAAGAAUUUUGUAUUAGAAAUUAGAAAUAAAUACAUCUGCUUUAUGGAGAUAAAGGUAAUACAGCAUUAGAUUUUUCUGUAUACAGGGAAUAUAAAUUUUUAUCUUUGGUGAACUAAUAAAAGAAGAGUUGAACUCAUUGCUACUGUUUAAUUUUGCUUCUGUACAUAAGGGACCUUCAGCAGUUACCCAGAGAGAACCGUGAGGUGGAUUGAGAACUGUUUGGCUGGUAGAGCUCAGAGGGUUGUCAUCAGUGUGGCAGUCUGGCUGGAGGCCUGUAACUAGUGGUCUUCCUCAGGGGUUGGUAUGGGAUCUGGUCUUGUUCAACGUCUUCAUCUUCAUUCAUGACCUGAAUGAAGGGAGAGAGUCCACCCUCAGCAAGUUUGCUGAUGAUACAAAGCUGGGAAUAGCGACUGACAUGGGGACCUUAUCAAUGCUAAUAAAUAUCUAAAGGGUAGGACUCAAGUGGAUUGGUCCGAGUUCUUUUCAGUGGUACCCAGCAACACUACAAGGGGCAAUGGGCACAAACUGGAACACAGGAGGUUCCAUACAAACACAAGGAAAAAGUUCUUUAUUGUGCAGGUUACAGCACUGGAACAGGCUGCCAAGAGAGGCUGUGAAGUCUUCUCUGAGGUAUUCAAGACCCAGCUGGAUGUUUUCCUGGGCAACCUACUGUAGGGAACCUGCUUGGACUAGAGGAUCUCCAGAGGUCCCAUACAACCCCUACAAUUCUGUGAUUCUGUGAAAACAGAGAUCUUUGCAUUUUGUGAGCCAAAAAAAGGAACUGAAGACCACAAUUGCUCAUCAGAGGAACCACAUACAUGCCAGAUGUGCUUUUACCCCACUGUGAUUGUGAACUAAAAUGUUUGUUUAAAGACUAUAUUUUUAUAGAUAUUAUUGUGCUCAGAGGCAAAUGUAGCCAUGGUAAAUGUACAUUCCCAGCAUAACCCUCUCCAUGAGGGGCCAGGUAAAAAUUCAUAGAUGCAUUUAAAUGGGUUGUAUUGGGAUCACUCAGUCGUCAUCAGAGAAAGAUGAAGGAAUCUCCAAGGACACUUCUUUCCCUACCUUUCAGGAUGGAAUUAAACAACUUUCUGACAUAUCUAUUUCCCUAUAGGGAGCAUGUAGCUGUGGAUGUCAGACAUACACCACUUAGUCAGCUGAAGUAGAAAGAAUUCCACCCUAAAACAUUAAAGCAAUGAAUCCCUUUUUCUAUAAAUUACAACAAAGUAAAAUUAUGUCUAGCCUCUGUCUUUGUUAAGAGCUUGACAUACAGCAGCACUUAGGAAACUGAUUAUACUGACAGGCUAAUCAAGCAGAGUUUGUUAACUAAAUUUAUGGUAACUAUAUCACAUCUCAAGUAUUACAAAUAUGAAAAAGAGUGUGCCUUAAUCUUCUAUGUAAACAUAGUUUUCUUUUGGGCUCUUCUGAUGCCCUAAUGUUUAUAGAACCAUGUAAUAAAUCAGGACUUAUUUAUCAUAACGAACAGUAGUUCACACAGUGGUUAAAAUCGCUGUUUUCAUUAACUAUGUCAAAGAUCAAAAUAUUAUAAAGGAAGCAUUCAGAUGCAAUGACAAGAGGCGCAGUAUAUGAUCUGAAAUGAACAUGUGUUGUCAUGCA